rnacentral:rRNA from 1 species
UACAGAGGCCUCAAGCGUUGUUCGGAUUCAUUGGGCGUAAAGGGUGCGUAGGUGGUGGGGUAAGUCGGACGUGAAAUCCCUCAGCUUAACUGGGGAACUGCGUCCGAUACUGGAUGGCUUGGAUUUGGGAGAGGGAUGCGGAAUUCCAGGUGUAGCGGUGAAAUGCGUAGAUAUCUGGAGGAACACCGGUGGCGAAGGCGGCAUCCUGGACCAACAUUGACGCUGAGGAGCGAAAGCUAGGGGAGCAAACGGG